GUCUUUGUUUGAAUGUUCUUCAAGCUGCAACGCACUGAACCAGCUUCUGGAUGGAAAAUCAAUGUACUGAUUGCCUAUCCUUUUGUAUCUGGAGAAUGGAUUCUCUGAGCCUUCGUUUGCUCAAACGAAUACCUACGAGGCCUUUUCACAACUUGACAUGAAAUGAUUACCAGCUCUAUUUUGGUUCAGACUUCAGAGCAACAGAGUUGAUGUCAGCCAUAGGCGGCUAUGGCUAUUACAAUCUGGAGUACAAAUCAAAUGAGAACUUGCAUACAAUGCAUACAGAUCUGAUCUUUUUAUGGGCAUUUACCUAGGAGGCUAGGAAAUAUUUAAUUCAGGCAGAAACGAGAAAGAAAUUCCCAGUUUUAAACUGGCCACAAUCGUUUCCUGUGUUGAAUCCAGCGACCACAGCCGCAAGGACGUGUACAGCCGCAAAUCAGACGGCGAAUGCCAUUGCCACUGGUAGCCUCCUCUCCUCCUGGUCUGGAUCGCACAGCCCUUCGCUGUUGCCGCUGGACGGAGCGUAGGACGUCCCCACCGACGAUAAGGCCGCGCUCCCACGCAAGCCGCCGAGGCAAGCACGCGCCGUGGACCCUGGCGCAGCGAGGGUGUUCGAUGAAAUGCCGCUACGGGGCAACCUGCAAGACCACGGCAUCGUUUGGCUGGUUGAAAAUUGCCGCCGCUCUGGCUGUUCCACCGUGACGGUCAAGAAGGGGGGCGCAGCCGAGGGGGUCCGGCAGCCGGGGAGCCAUGGUUGGCCGGCAGGACGUCACAUGCGCACGCUCCCGCGUGCCAUGGCAAGGGCUGAGAAGCUGAAUCAGCCAAUCAGGCAUGCUGAUACGGAUGGAUAUUGAUGGAGGUUGGGAGUUGGGAUCGAUGGCUUGCGCUGUGCUGUGCUCAUCACAUCCUGGCAAAGGCAAUGAACUUUUGUACUUCAGGUGUCUCUCGCUGUUGGGGAAUAUGCUCUGCCGUCACUCAGUCAAGCACCUGGGGUUCCUCUUCCCCUAGAGGCUGCCAACUGGAGGCACACGAAGAGGCGACGACCAAGGUUGGUGUCAUUCGGUUCGUGGAAUCGGUUUUGGGGCAUAAUCUGACCAGGACUGCACUCGCAUGUCGGGCCAGAUAAGGGUUUCAUGGUUUAUGCCUUUGAUAACGUGUUGCUUGUAGACACAAUUUAUCAGAUAGCUUUGCUGCUAUGGUGUUGGUGGAAUACUGGAAUGAUUGAGCAUGACUGGUGGAUGGAGGGAAGGCCCCUCUGGAUUCUGAUUCUCGUGAGGUCAUUGGCAUCAGUCCUGGCUGGUAAUCAUUUCACGUCAAGUUGUGAAAAGGCCUCGUAGAUCGUAUCAUUGCUAGUUUGCUAUGCGCCAGCAAGCUUUGGACCCGGCACAGGGACUCUCGCGAACUGGCAUUUUCUCAGGUUACCUGCAACUUGGAAUUGUUCUGAGUUGGCAUACAAACAUGAGGGAUAUUCCCUUGCAUUCGGCUAUCUUAUAUCCAAUGUCGAGCGCUCCAGAGAUAUAGGGGCAUAUAUUUACCGCAUCCACAUUAAUUCCAUCAGUCCUCCUGUAGAGGAGGUUAUUCCAAUAUCAUCUAAUGUAUCGUCUGCCACCACAUCCGUUCUCCCUUUGGCAAUUGAAGAACACUGAGGCCACGGGUGGUCCUAGAUUAUAAAGUGCUGAGAAGUCUCUUGUGUUGAAAUUUGGUCUCCAUCCUGGUGCAUAAAUAGUCUGCCGGAUGGAUUGGCGGAAGAGGACAAAGACAAAGCGAUGUGUAAAAGGGUACUGCAUGGUCUAUUCUGUUGAUUUUCUUGGAAAUAAACAUUCAAAUAGGGAUAUGAGAUGUAAGAGAAGUGGGCAACUCACCAAAGCUUACAUUUGUUGAUUCUGGAAUGUCUGUCACUAACCUGCAUGCAUGAUUGCCACCGUAAGUAAUUCCUUUUCCUAUUUGUCAUGUUAGCAGAAUAUACAAGUAAUAGUAAUCACAUAUUUUUCAGGUCUUACCAAUGAAGGUAUUCUCUUUUGGUUGGAUUGCUUGGACUCGAUACCUUUAUUUUAAACUGGCACAACAUUUGCCUGUCGUCUAAGGACUUUGAGUGAUGCUGAUUUGAUAAAUGGGUCCAAGAUAUCUCCAACUACGUUGCCAACGACAAGUGGGUCCCUUGACAUGGUUAGCUAAGAUUGGCAAACUUGAAGACAAGCUAACUUGGCCUGAAGUAUGAGCUUGGGUGAAGUGAAGGGUGCAGGCUGGUGCUCUAUAUAUACUGCAGGUCCCCAAUGAGGCACCAUUCAUGAUGACUGAAAAUAUUAGCUCUGGACACCAUGGUAUCUUGCUUUAUACUGCAAAGAAUGAUAUGGGUUGCCAUCACUGAAAAUAUUUCGAGUAGUCCACCCUCUGCACCUACACCAAUGGAAGGAGUGCUCACUGCAAUUCCACGUAGGGUAGAAGCUUUGGUGGGACAAGCAUACUAUACUGCAAUGACAGAAGGUGGUGGAGGAUUUUCUUCACAAAUGCAUCAAUUGUUCGGUGUCUGCUCCUAAGAUAAUAAUUUCAACAUUAGAUGCCCAAGAUGCUAAUUUGUGGUACAAGUGUAUGGUCUAUCUCACUGCAUGCUGUCAUCUAGAAUUCAGAAUCAUGUUCAGUUCAUCUGCAGACAUCAUAAGUACACAACUACAUUAUACCUGCACUCAUCUCUUCUGACUUCUAUUCUAGUUAAAAAGAUGGAAUACGACCUUCGUCGUCGGAGCUCCAAGUAAUGGAAGAUUCUGCUCCCAGUUGCUGAUCUUUUGUUUUGGUGAAAAUGAACUGCCUACGGAAGCUCAUAUGGUCUCCAAAGAGAGGUGGCAGAGCUGUGACAGAUAAGGUCUACAAUGAUCUCAGCUAGCUAUCAGGUAUUCAUGUUUCAGUUCUGCGCCGAAAGCCUGAAAGGUGACACUACUUGCAUUGGAGCCAAGAAGCUCAAAUUCGACCAGAGAAUCUCUACUGUGCCUUAAAAAGGUGAUGCUAAUAAAGUAGAAACUUGGCACCCAAUCCUUAAUACCAGACCUUCAGCUACUUCAGCAAGUUCCGAACAUGGAACUGAAAGAGUUUAGUUAACACGGUGGUGCAUUGAGUAUGAACGCCGAAGUUAGUGAAGUGACUGGAAUCUGUGAAACUCUUUCCUGGUUCAUUGCACAUUCUUGAUCCUUGACCAACGAAUAAAGCAGUUCUUCUCUUCACGUGAGCAUAUCCCAUUGGUCCAGCCACUCCAAGGGUGAAUGCAAAAAAAGUUGUACUUCACAUGGGUUGCUAAAGCUCGGAAAUGGACAUUUGACAGAGAAACUUGGAGCGCCGGAAUUGCAUCGAAUGGUAUUGAGUACAGAACUAUUUCCAGAAACAGAAAACCUCCACUACCCUGUCAAUGCUCGCUGAUGGCAAAAAUUGGAUUGUGAUGCCUGCUUCUUUCAUGGUCUUGCAAAGUUGGAAGGAUUCCUUACAUCCAAAAAGAAAAAAAGUUGGAAGGAUUCCCGAAGAAAUUAAGCUUCAAGUUUCUGGUUGUCAUCGCAAGUUGUUCAAUCAACCGUUCAAAUUUGAACUCUGAGCAACAACGGCUUCUGAACCGAUCAAGAUCACGCUCUGGGAAUCCGGUGGAGAACGAGAAUCCUUCUGGAAACGGUCGGCAUCGUGCACUACUUGAUCUACCGGCCGGUAUUCCCCCGUCCCUUUGCUGAAAGCAACGGCUCCUCCUCCAGAGCUAAGCUAGGCUAAGCUAGACGAGGGGCCCUGGAUGGGGGGCGGCGUACGUGCGGCACUGCAUUGGUAGCCGUGGUGUGCAAGUUGCAGGGUCGCCGCCUCAGCGCUGUCCAUGAAUGGAAUGGAGUGGCGCCGGUGUUUCGAGCCGAGUGCCAGGCGCCAUGGAUGGAUAUGAACAUGAUCGCUUGCUGCCGCCACGCCAUUCACCCGGGGCGUGCUACCUUGGCGUGGCGUGCGUUGGCAUCGUGAUCUUAUCACUUUCCUAUAGGCCUGGAGCCUGGCAAGUCAGCGGUGGCACGCGGGCUCGCACAUUUCGUAUCCUUCCACAUGGUAAAAGCUGCAGCAUCGCCGUCACCGAAAUCGGUGGCGGGGGCAGGGUCGGAAGCUAUUCUGGAGCUUUCUCAUUUCUGGUGCAGCGGCCAAAGCCAACUAGCCAUGUCGGGAGUGGCUAGCGUACUACGUCUACGUACAACUAAAAUGUAGCCAGUCUAGAGCGUGUAAAGAUGAUGCAACACAGAAUAAUCUAGACUCCUAGAGACCAAAGGCUUUGGUCAUGCUUUGUAUUAUUGAAAGCAAAAUGUAACAUAGAGAAUAAUCAGGAUAUGUACCCUUUUUUCUUCAGGGAAAUCAGAUAUGCAACAGAACAUGUUUCUGUUCGAGA